rnacentral:tRNA from 1 species
AAUUAAGGAGCUUGAAUAAGCACUUGACUUUUAAUCAAGAGAUAACCCCAGGUUCUUAAUUA